UACGAAGGGGGCUAGCGUUGCUCGGAAUCACUGGGCGUAAAGCGCACGUAGGCGGAUUGUUAAGUCAGGGGUGAAAUCCUGGAGCUCAACUCUGGAACUGCCUUCGAAACUAGAGGACUUGGGUACGGGAGAGGUGAGUGGAAUUCCGAGUGUAGAGGUGAAAUUCGUAGAUAUUCGGAAGAACACCAGUGGCGAAGGCGGCUCACUGGCCCGUUACCGACGCUCAGGCGCGACAGCGUGGGGAGCAAACAGG
rnacentral:rRNA from 1 species